GCCUUCCCAUCUGGAGAUUUAACUUUGGUGUGUGUGCACAGGCUGAACAUUACUAAUCAGGAAUUGAACGAGGAUCCCUAUGACUCCUAGGCAGCAUUUCUAUGAGGACCAAGGGGAAUGAUAUAUGGCUCCAGAUCACCACUGCUGUUAUUGGAGAUGAAAUAACAAAAAAGUGGGAACAAAAGCUGUGAUGGUUACCUGGAGCAGCUAGCAGGGAAAGCCCCAGCACAAGGCAGAACUGGUGGGAGAGAUGAGGAGGAAGAGGAACAGAGGAAAAGCACAUCACUGUGGGAGCAGCUCGGAACACCUGGCAUUUGUUUUCAAGA